rnacentral:rRNA from 1 species
AACGAACGCUGGCGGCAUGCCUAACACAUGCAAGUCGAACGAGACCUUCGGGUCUAGUGGCGCACGUGUGCGUAACGCGUGGUAACCUGCCCUUAGGUUCGGAAUAACUCCCCGAAAGGGGUGCUAAUACCGGAUAAUGUCUUCGGACCAAAGAUUUAUCGCCUUUGGAUGGGCCCGCGUUGGAUUAGCUAGUUGGUAGGGUAAAAGCCUACCAAGGCGACGAUCCAUAGCUGGUCUGAGAGGAUGAUCAGCCACACUGGGACUGAGACACGGCCCAGACUCCUACGGGAGGCAGCAGUGGGGAAUAUUGGACAAUGGGCGAAAGCCUGAUCCAGCAAUGCCACGUGAGUGAUGAAGGCCUUAGGGUUGUAAAGCUCUUUUACCCGGGAUGAUAAUGACAGUACCGGGAGAAUAAGCUCCGGCUAACUCCGUG